CACGUAGGGCGCAAGCGUUGUCCGGAAUUAUUGGGCGUAAAGAGCUCGUAGGCGGUCUGUUGCGUCCGCUGUGAAAACUCGGGGCUUAACCCCGAGCCUGCAGUGGAUACGGGCAGACUAGAGGUAGGUAGGGGAGAAUGGAAUUCCCGGUGUAGCGGUGAAAUGCGCAGAUAUCGGGAGGAACACCGGUGGCGAAGGCGGUUCUCUGGACGGUGACUGACGCUGAGACGCGAAAGCGUGGGGAGCAAACAGG
rnacentral:rRNA from 1 species